GACUUGGGGCUGUCCUCACACAACUUCAUGAGGACAACACAGAGGACUGUUGCAUUUGCUUCAAGGACACUAAGUAAUGCUGAGAGAAAAUAUUCUACAGUUGAAAAAGAAGCACUUGCUUGUGUCUGGGCUACUGAAAAAUGGAGAACUUACCUGUGGGGCCACACGUUCAAGUUGGGCACAGACCACAGCCCUUUGACGAUGUUGCUCACCACGAAAGGACUGAGAAGAGCAGGAUAUUGUAUUGCUAGAUGGUCUGCAAGGCUUCUCUCUUUCAAUUAUGAACUGGAAUAUAAGCCUGGAAAUGAAAAUGUGGUAGCUGAUUGCCUUUCUCGCCUGCCUUUGCCUUCACCAGAUGGUCCACCAGAGGAUAAGGAUGUAGUAGUUGUGCUUAUUACAAGCACUCUUACUGCAGUUACAAGAGAACAAUUUCAAGCUGCUUGUUCAGCGUGUUCAAUUCAACAAAAAUUACAGGAAUUUCUGACAAAGAGAUGGCCCAAUAACCCUAAAAACCUUGACCCAGUUUUGCUGCCUUAUUUUAGAGUUUGGGAUGAACUUUCUUUGCUCGAUGGCUGUGUGCUACAAGGUACACACCGGCUACUUGUGCCAGAAGGAUUACAGUCAAAACUCAUACACCUGGCACACAAUACUCAUCAGGGAAUUGUCAGAACCAAACAACGACUACGGGAUCUGUAUUGGUGGCCAGGGAUGGACUCUCAAACUGAAGCACUCAAAAAAUCCUGUGUCACUUGCCAAAUGCAUGAUAAGACAGCAGUGACAUGUACCCCUCCAUUACAGCCUGUUCCUCUUCCUGAAUCUGCAUGGGAAAAAGUGGCGAUUGACAUUGUAGGACCCUUUGACACUGCUCCACUUGACUGUCGUUAUGCCAUCACUUUAAUAGACUAUUUCAGCAAAUGGCCUGAGGUAGCGUUUACAUCGCAAAUUUCUUCUGCUACAGUAAUUAAGUUCCUCUCUUCAGUUUUUAGCUGGGAAGGUAACCCCAAAGAACUGGUUUCAGAUAAUGGUAGUCAAUUUACUUCCCUGGAGUUUGAAACUUUUCUAGCAGAGAGGAACAUUUUACACAGGAGGUCAUCCCU
rnacentral:lncRNA from 1 species